rnacentral:lncRNA from 1 species
UCUGACACGUCGUUCUCAGCAGCUGAAGCCAUGUGCUGUGACUAUCUUUGGAGCCUCCCCAGCCCUGUUUAGUGCACAGCUGAACUGUAACUGUUGCAAACAUCUGGAGUGGAUGAGAUGGGAAAGGAGACCCGCAGUGAUUGUGGAUUCUGGGGAAGAUGGACCAGUGGUGGUGUGGUAGAUAGGUUGGGAGUCUGGAUGCCUGCGUGAGCUUUUGUGCAUCUCACACAUGCAGUAGCCCAUGGGAGCCAGAAGAAGGUGCCAGGUCCCUCGGAACUGGAGUCCUAGGUGAUUGUGAGCCACCACGUGUGCACCGGGAACUGAACCCAGGCCGUCUGCAAGAGCAAUAAACCAUCUUAACCGCGGCGUCAUCUCUCCAGCCCCGACUUUAAGUAAAUUAUUGAUGACCUUCCCAAACAGAAUGUACUAGGUCCAGAUGGGUUGGGUGAAUUCUGGGUGAAUUCUUCCAAGCAGUGAAGGAGGAAAAAUAUAUCAGUUCUCUGUAAUGUCUGUCAGAGGAUGAGCUUAGAAGGAACACUUCUUGAUCCACACUAGGAGCCCAGCAUCACCCUAAGAACAAACGAGGAGAAGGUACUUCAGUAAAUGGAAGCAACAAAAGCCCAUGAACACAGAUCCAGACAGCCUCAACGACAAGCUACUCGCAAGCUGAAUCUAAUGAUGCAUGAAAGGAAAAACAUACCAUAACCAAGUGGGACGGAUGCCAGAUAAGAACGGCCAUCCAACAUUCAAAAAUAAGCUCCUAUAAUCCAGUGUUUGUUAUGAAGGUCUGGGAACACCCCCACCACGCUGUGUAGCAUUCAGAGGAUUCUCCAUCUCUUUAGAACAGCGAUCCUCACCCCACACCUCUUUCAUCUUGAGCACUGCUGGCUCCCAGCCUUCUGCCUUUGGCCUGAGAUUGCUGUGGAGUUGCAACCCAGCUGAUUUCUUCCUGCCUGCUCUCGGGGCCAGACUGACGUGCACGCCGAACACUUCAGUGCUCAAGUCAACUUUGCUGUGUCAAUCUGCCGGAGCCUAGUCCCAGAUGAGGACUCAAGUAGCUCAGGCUGGCCUUGAACUCCCUAUGGAGUUAAGGAUGACCUUGAAUUCCUUCGGCCUUCCUCCACCUACCUCCUAAGUUGCUGGGAUCACAGGCAUGUGCUACUAUACCCAACAAUUAUGAAUAAAAUGUUUUUUUAUUGCUUGUAAUUGAA